rnacentral:rRNA from 1 species
CGUUAGCUUUCUUUGCUGGCGACCGGCGCACGGGUGAGUAACACGUACCCAACCUGCCCUUUACUCGGGGAUAGCCUUUCGAAAGAAAGAUUAAUACCCGAUAGUAUAAUGAUUCCGCAUGGUUUCAUUAUUAAAGGAUUCCGGUAAAGGAUGGGGAUGCGUUCCAUUAGGUUGUUGGUGAGGUAACGGCUCACCAAGCCUUCGAUGGAUAGGGGUUCUGAGAGGAAGGUCCCCCACAUUGGAACUGAGACACGGUCCAA